rnacentral:rRNA from 1 species
CCCUUAGAUGUUCUGGGCUGCACGCGCGCGACAAUGACGUUUGCAACGAGAUACGAGACCGAAAGGUUAAGUUGAUCUAGCAAGCUGCGUCGUGAUAGGGACUGUCGAUUGCAAUUAUUCGACACGAACGAGGAAUUCCUUGUAAUCGCACAUCAUCAGUGUGCGCUGAAUACGUCCCUGCCCUUUGUACACACCGCCCGUCGCUCCUACCGAUCGAGUGAUCCGGUGAAUGUUUUGGAUCGGUUGCAAGUUGCGCGACGCGCUUCUUGCAUGCUGUGAAAUCAUGUAAGCCUUAUUGCUUAGAGGAAGGAGAANUCGUANCA